CAGACCAGGUGCCAUUUUCUCACCCAGUGCAGUGAACCAGAGCCCUUACUGGUGGCUGGCCAUGGGGCUUUGCCACAUCCAGUGCUGGGCCCCCCUACCUCCCAGAGGACUUUAGAUACCCUGGGUGGAAGUCCGUUCCUGCCCUCUUGUAGUCAACAGACAUGGACUCAGCUCUGAGGUCUGUGUCCCCACCUAUGGGACGAUCUACCCACAUGUGGCUGAUUCUGGUUGGAAGGAUGGGUUUGGCUGCCUGCCUGUGGUUUAGAAUUGGGCCAAAUCUUCACUCUGGGAGGUCAUAGCUCCUCACCAACCCUUAAAACCAGAAUCCAGCAGAAGGUAGGGUAUAAUCUAAACCAGCCAGGGCAGGAACUGCAGAUUGGAGAAGGCGACAGGAAAGCGGCACCACGUCCCACUGGGAUCUCUUUCAGCAACUGAGAGUUUUGUUUUCCUGGUAUAAAAUAUAGAAAUAGUGGUUGUUCUCAGUGAAUUUCGGCUCGGUGCUGGACCUCUCUCUCUCUCUCUCUCUCUCUCUCUCUCUCUCUCUCUCUCUCUCUCUCUCUCUCCACAGAGCCUAUCGGUGUCCCUGAGGGCAAGGGUGGAGGAGAGCACUGCUCAGAGCUGUCCUAAGGCCAUCCGCAGGUUUUUGAUCUCUAGUUCCAGCUGCUUGGUCUGGACUUCUCUCUGGAUUAACAGCUCCCGGAGCCUCCGGAUCUCCUCCUGUUGCCGGUAGAACAUCUGCAGCAGCUGUGAAGCACAGUGAAGAGGGAGAGGUCAUCUGGGUGGCCGGGAUAGGCCACAGCACAGAGGCUGAGGCACACACUUCUGACUUGGUGACAGCCGUUAAAUUAUUAGCAAGGGACAGUCACUUCUGAGCCGUGACGAAAGCCUUGCUUGCUUUACCCAACAGUGAAGUUCCGGACUCUAUUCAAUUUUAACAAUGCAGCAGGAUCUAGAAUCACCUAUGGAGUUUCUAGAUUGAUCCAUCCUAACUGUGGGUAGCAUUAACAAAUGGGAUGAGAUCCUGGGCUGAAAGCUGAGUGCCAGCAUCUAUCUCUGUCCGCCUCCAGCUUGUGGAUACCAUGUAACCCGCUGCCCUAAGCUCCUGCUGCUGCCUUCC
rnacentral:lncRNA from 1 species